UACGUAGGGGGCAAGCGUUGUCCGGAAUCAUUGGGCGUAAAGCGCGUGUAGGCGGUUCGAUAAGUCUGCUGUGAAAGUCCAGGGCUCAACCCUGGGAUGCCGGUGGAUACUGUCGGACUAGAGUACGGAAGAGGCGAGUGGAAUUCCCGGUGUAGCGGUGAAAUGCGCAGAUAUCGGGAGGAACACCAAUUGCGAAGGCAGCUCGCUGGGACGUAACUGACGCUGAGACGCGAAAGCGUGGGGAGCAAACAGG
rnacentral:rRNA from 1 species